rnacentral:rRNA from 1 species
GACGAACGCUGGCGGCGUGCUUAACACAUGCAAGUCGAACGAAGUGGCGAACGGGUGAGUAACGCGUAAUCAACCUGCCCUUCAGAGGGGGACAACAGUUGGAAACGACUGCUAAUACCGCAUACUGAAGGAGGGGAUUGCGUCUGAUUAGCUAGUUGGAGGGGUAACGGCCCACCAAGGCGAUGAUCAGUAGCCGGUUUGGGAGGAUGGACCGCCCAAAUGGGACUGGAACAAGGCCCAAGCUCCUUCGGGAGGCAGCAGUGGGGAAACUUCCGCAAUGGACGAAAGUCUUACGGAGCAACGCCGCGGUGGUGAUGACGGCCUUCGGGUUGUAAAGCUCUGUUAAUCGGGACGCGGUACCGGAAUAGAAAGCCACGGCUAACUACGUGCCAGCCGCCGCGGUAAUUC